UACGAGAAGAGUGAGUGACGCUCCUCCCAAAGUCUCUCUCUCGCAAACAACAACAACAAAAAAAAAAUCUCUGCUCUUCGCUUCGCUUCGCUCGUCUUCUACUUCUCAUCUUCCUCAGUAACCCAUCUCAAUCGGUAUUCAUCUCUCUGGCUUUAAUUGGUAGUAGUCUCUCUAAUUGGUCCUCUUUCUCUCUGCAAUUGCUUGUUUGUAAGUGGUAUGAAGGUUACUGUACUGCUACAUGACAGUCCUCAGAGGUGCAUCCGUAUUAUAUGUAGCUAGCUACUGGGAAGUGGGAACAAGAACUCUAACCGAGAAGCUAUCAUGGUUCCUGGACGAGGGAGGGAGGUGAAGGGCACAAUUCAAAUCCUUAGAUUUUGCCUUGAUUGUGGAAGCUUGAGGAAUUGCUGGCAAGCAUGUCAUUGUCGAUUCUCAGGAUCUUUCUGUUUUCGUUUGCAAUGGGACCUGUGAUAGCAUAUCACACGAAGUCGCACACACAAGUUUCGUCUCUUCUGUGGUAUUUGAUCUUCUACUGACUCGGAUUGUUUUUGUUUUUGUGUUUCCAACGGGACUUGUGGAAGAGCAGCAGCACAUCGUCCACG